CUAGCUUUGCCCACCCAGCUGCUCCAUGUCAGGAGAAGGAAGAGCCAUCUGCUGCAUGCUGGAGCCUGGAACCUGUGACACCACGGCUCGCCUCACUGCAGUGGGUGGCAGCCACGGAGACUGCAGAGUACCAGAGAGACAUUUUACUGCAGUUUUAUAUUCACACCAAAAUUGAUGGAAAGAUACAGAGAUUUUCCAUAUACCCUGCCCUCACACAGGUAUAGUCUUCCUCUUUAUCAAUAUUCCUCACCAGAGUGGUACACUUAUUACAAUGAAGGAACCUACAUUGAAAAAGCAUAAUUAUACAAAGCCACAGUUUACAUUACUCUUGUUGAUGUACAUUUUAUCGGUCUGGAUAAAAGUGUAAUAACAUGUAUCCAUCAUUAUAGUACCAUAGACUUCCACUACUUUAAAAAUCUUCUGUGUUCUGCGUAUGUGCCCUUUUCCUGCCCUUCCCAAACAUUUGGCAGCCACUGAUCUUUUUUACUGUAUUCAUUGUAUUGCCUUUUCAGAAUGUCAUGUACUUAAAAAUCAUACAGUAAGUAGCCUUUUCAGAUUGGCAUCUUUCACUCGAUAAUAUACAUUUAAGUUUUCUUCAUGUCUUUUAAUGACUUAAUCACUCACUUCCUUUUAGCUCUAAGUAAUAAUGCAUUAUAUGCCUGUAGCACAUUUUAUCUAUUUACCUAUUGGAGGACAUCUCAGUUGCUUCACUAAUUGAUUGAAUUUUUAUAUCCAUGCUUAUGAGGGAGUUUUUUGUUCAUAAUAUUAUUGUUGCAUUGUGGUUCAAGGUAAUGAAAACAAUAUAGAAUUGGUUGGGAUAUAGGUUUUCUUUUUAUUUGGGGGAAGGGGUAAGAAUUGCAGUUAUGUAGAAUAUUAUCAUUUCUUUCUAAAAUGUUUGAUAGAACUCACCAGCCUAUCUGGCUGGACCGGGAGUUCUCCUUGUAGAAAGGUUUUCCUAUGACUCUCUUUUAUAGGUAUAGGGUAAUGCAGGCUAUUUAUUCUUGAUUGAGUUUUUAUAAUUUUCAUUUUCAAGGAAUUUGUGAAUUUUGUCAUGUUUUUUAACGUAAGUUCUAUAAUAUUGCCUUUUGUAGCAUCUGUACAAUCUGCAAUAAUGUCACAUUACUCAUUUCUGAAGUUAGCAAUUUGUAUUUUCUCUUUUUCCUGGGAAGCCUAGCAAGAUAGAGGUUUAUUGCUUUUAUUGAUCUCAAAGUGUUUGGUGUAAUUGACUUCCGCUACUGUUUUAAUGUUUUACUGCUUUUAUUUUUGAUGCCUUGGUCCUUUAGGCCCAUUGUUUUAAAAAAAAAUCAUAGCCUGGGUAGCUUAUAAACAAAUUAAUUUUUCACAGUCUGGACGUUACAAAGUUCAAUAACAACGUGUUGUUAGGUUUUGAUGUGUGUUGAAAAACCACUCCGUGAUACAUAGAUAAAUUAUAUUUUCUUGUGUGCUAACAUGGCAGAAGGGGUGAACAGGCUUUCUGAGGUCUCAUAUAUAUAUUAAUCAAUUCAUAAGGACUUCGUUCCCAUGACCUAAUUACUUUCAAAAACCUUUACCCCCUAAUUACAUCACGUCUGUGACUUGGUUUCAGCAUACAAAUUUUGGAGAGACCCAAACAAUCAGAUCACAGGAGAUAUUUAUUAUUUUCUUUCAUUGAAUCCUUUGGGUUUAAUGUUCUCUUCUUUUUUCUAAUUUCUUAAAAUAGAAGUCAAAGUAAUUGAUUUGAGACUCAUCUAAUAUAGACACUAAGUGCUAAAAAUGUGUUUAAGCAUAUUUGUGGGGACAUUCAACAAUUUCGUUGAAUGUCGUACUUUUAUUUUUAUUCAGUUCAAAGUAUUUUCUAUUUUUUUCAUUACUUAUUUCAUUCGGGGUUAUUUAAACUUGUGUUACUUAGUUUCCAAAUGUUUGAGUACUUCCUAGAGCUGUUUUUGCUAUUAAUUUCUAAUUUGACUGUUUUGUGGUCACAGCGCAUACCUAAACCCUUUUCAUUUAAUUUUUCCAUUGAGAGACAUUAUAUGGCCUAGAAUGUGGUCUGUUUUGCUAAGUGCUCCAUGGGUACUUGCAACACAUGUUGUUGUUCCAUUCUACUCUAUUCUCAUUGAUUUCUGCCUCCUUAUUCUAUCACGUAUUGAGUAAAGGUUAUUGAAACUUCAGGUUACUUUAAAAUUUUCUGUUUCUUUCUGAAGCUCUAUCCAUUUUGCCUCAUAUAUUUUGAAGCUAUUAUGUUAUUCAGGACAUAAGCAUUUAGCAUGUUUGUGUCUUCUUGACUAAUUGAGCAUUUUAUCAUGGAGAUAUGACCUUGUUUAUAAGUGGGGACUAUUUUUUGUUGUAAAGUCUACUUUGGUAUUAAACAGCCACUCCGGCUCAGCUUUAUUCUGUCAAGUGUUGACAUUAGUCCUAUUCAACUUUUAUUUUUAUUUAUUUAUUUAUUUAUUUUUGAGGCGGAGUUUCGCUCUUGUUACCCAGGCCGGAGUGCAAUGGCGUGAUCUUGGCUCACCGCAAUCUCCGCCUCCUGAGUUCAGGCAAUUCUCCUGUCUCAGCCUCCUGAGUAGCUGGGAUUUCAGGCACGCGCCACCAUGCCCAGCUAAUUUUUUCUAUUUUUAGUAGAGACGGGGUUUCACCAUGUUGACCAGGAUGGUCUCGAUCUUUUGACUUCUUGAUCCACCCGCCUGGCCUCCCAAAGUGCUGGGAUUACAGGCUUGAGCCACCGCGCCCGGCCCCUAUUCAACUUUUAAAUCAAUUAGUAUCUUUACAUGUAAAGUGCAUUUCUUGUAGGCAGCAUGUAAUUGAGUCUUGCUUUUUAGUUGAGCUCUAGAGUUCACAUUUUGAUUGAGGUUUUCAGACUAGUGAAAACCCAAAUAUCCCACGAUUAAAAGCAGAAACACAUUUGCUAUAGAAAUAAACUCUGUGCUAUUGGGAAAUAGCUACUUUGCUUUGUUCCUGUGUCUUAAAUUAGAGCUUUUAAAAUAUUCAAAUCUACAAAGUGAUGAGUUCUUUUUUUUGUAUACUAAUGAGAUGACCAUUAGUUUGGGGUUGCCACCAAACAUUGAUUGACAUGGUUGCCAGGUGAACCUACCCUGUGAUUAGAGGGUUGGAAUGUUCAUCCCUAUGCCAAACCUCCUUGUGCGGAUAAGUACUGAAUCUCUCACCAAUGGCUAAUGAUAGGAUCACUUGGAGGUUUCUAGAGGGUGGUGCAUCCAGAGAGACCACAGAAGCUCCAUGCUCUUUCCCACAUAUUUUCCCUGUAUAGCUCUUCCAUCUGCCUGUUCAUCUGUAUUUUUUGUAAUAUCCUUUAUAGUUAAUGGGUAAACAAGUAAAUCAAUAAAGUAUUUACUUGUAAUCAGUAAUAAGUAAUGUGUUUACUUGAGUUCUAUGAGCCUCUAUAGCAAAUUAAUUGAACCUGAGGUGGUGUUCAUAGUAACUCCAAGGUAGAGCUGCUCAGUCAGAAUUUGAGGAGGUCCAGAUUUGCAACUGGUGUCUGAAGUGGGGGUGAGGGGCAUCACGUGGGCUGGAGGCCUUAACCUGUGGAUCUGAUUUUAUCUCCAGGAAGGGUCUGAAUUCAGGUGAAUUAGAGGACACUUGCUGCUGUCUGCUGGAGAAGCUGCUGCAGAAUCUCUUGCUUUUGAUGUGUGGAAAGAACCACACACAUCUGUCACAGAAGUAUUCUGUGUUUAUUAUUGUGUAGGAAUAUGAAAAUUACUAUUAUUUUCUAUAUUCUUAGAGAAUCUAAUGUUCAUAGAUCAGAUGACCAUAUUGUCAAUAUGUCUAAACUACCAAAAUCAUCUGCAAUCCUUAUUAAAAUUUAAAUAGCAUUUUCUUUCAAAAAUAUUUUUUUAAAUCUCGAAUUGUUUCUCUGUGUUUUACUGAUAUAUUCUUUGGAGUUUUCUUACAACACAUGUUUUGAAAUCUUUGACUAUAAGACCACACGUCUUCAUGACUUUAUUGUCAAUCUCUGGUGCUCUAUUUUUCAAGUCAUGGUUUUAAGAAUGUGUUUGAUACUUGUGGGCAUAAAAUAAGCACAUUAAAUGAUUAGGUAUUGUAAACUGCCGGAGAACAAACUGGAAGGAACAGUAUAGACCAAAAUUGAUGAUACAAAAGUCUUCAAACUUCUAGAUCUUGAAGACCUGGAAAGAACCUUCUCUGCCUAUCAAAGACAGCAGAAAGAAGCAGAUGCCAUUGAUGACACUCUGAGUUCCAAACUUAAAGUCAAAGAGCUUUCGGUGACUGAUGGUUGGAGAGCUCAAAAUUGCAACAUUGUUCUAUCGAGGUUGAAAUUAUCCAAUGAUGAAAUCAAAUGGGCAGUUCUAACAAUGGAUGAGCAGGAAGGUCUGCCCAAGGACAUGUUGGAACAGCUCUUGAAAUUUGUUUCUGAAAAAAGUGACAUUGACCCGUUGGAGGAACAUAAACACCAACUGGAUUGGAUGGCAAAGGCUGAUGGGUUCCUUUUUGAGAUGAGCCGAAUUAAUCACUAUCAGUAAAGGUUGCAAUUGUGGUACUUCAAUAAGAAGUUUGCAGAGCGUGUGGCAGAAGUGAAACCUAAAGUAGAAGAAAUUUGUUCUGGCUCAGAAGAGGUGUUUAGGAGCAGUGCCCUCAAGCAGUUGCUGGAGGUGGUUCUGGCAUUUGGAAACUAUAUAAAUAAAGGACAAAGAGGGAAUGCCUAUGGAUUAAAGAUAUCUAGCCUAAACAAAACUGCUGACACAGAAUCCAGCAUUGACAAAAAUAUUACCCUUUUGCACUAUCUCAUCACUAUUGUGGAAAAUAAGUGCCCCAGUGUCUUCAAUCUAAAUGAAGAAUUGCAGGAUAUUCCUCAAGCUGCGAAAGUAAACAUGACUGAGCUGGACAAAGAAAUAAGUACCUUGAGAAGUGGCUUGAAAGCAGUAGAGACGAAGCUGGAAUAUCAGAAGUCUCAGCCUCCACAACCUGGAGAUAAGUUUGUGUCUGUUAUCAGCCAGUUCAUCAUAGUAGCCAGCUUCAGUUUCUCUGAUGCUGAAGAUCUUCUAGCAGAAGCUAAAGACCUGUUUACUAAAGCAGUGAAGCACUUUGGAGAAGAGGCUGGCAAAAUACAACCAGAUGAGUUCUUUGGCAUAUUUCAUCAACUUCUUCAAGCUGUGUCAGAAGCCAAACAAGAAAAUGAAAAUAUGAGAAAGAGGAAGGAGGAAGAAGAGCGUCGAGCUCACAUGGAAACUCAGCUCAAAGAACAACGUGAAAGGGAACAUAAAAUGAGAAAAGCUAAAGAGAAUAGUGAAGAAAGUGGAGAUUUUGAUUACCUUGUUUCAGCUUUAUGCUCAAGAGAAGUGUUUGACAAAGACCUUUCUAAAUUAAAACGGAAUCGCAAAUGCAUUACAAACCAGAUGGCUGACAGCAGCAGAGAGAGACCAGUCACAAAACUUAAUUUCUAAUUUUCCAUGAACACUUUUUUUAGAAAGCUCAUUAGGAGCCCUAUAAAGUAACUAGAACGUUUCAUUACACUGCCCUGCAAUCCAAACAGUGGCAAUUUUUUCCUAUCUGUGAGCGAAUGCAUGAAUGUAUGUGUGUGUGUAUAUAUAUGUGUGUAUAUAUUUAAAAAUGUACAUAGAUGUCUGAGUGUUGUCUGGAGACCUACAUGUAUGGUUAAAAAGAUAUGCUAUUGUAUGUGCGCCGAAACCUUUCGUGUAUGCAUUCACUUUGAAUGUGGCUCAUUUUCUUUCCCUGAACACGAUGACUGUUCAGAAGCACAAUACUAUCUCCUGAAAAAGAUGACAGAGAUAUUCCCUAGAUUCAAAGACAAAACAGAAGGAAAAACAAAAUGAAAAAAAGCUUGCAAAAUAUUUUAUGCUUUCCAAUCUUGAUAUCCUUUGAAAUUAUUUUCAUUGAUAGAACUGAAGUUGGAAAAAUAUAGAUUUAAAAUGUUUUUUGAUAGCUGACAAUGUGAUGUUGAUGCAUCACAUCAGUAAUAGGAUGGGCUUAGAAUUGCUGACAUUGGUGUGGGGAUACAGUCUAUAAAUGUUUGAGAACAUCUUGAACACAAUUUGAAUUAUGUAGAAUGUCAAUCAGAAUUUUUUGUAUAUUUCAAAGUUGGACAUCAAUGUUUUCACUUAAUUUCAUCAAGUUAUCUCUGCCAAGUGCUCUUGAUAAUUUUUUCAGAUUUUCUGAAAAAACACUAAAUGCAAACUGUGCUUUUGUCAAAGAACAACAUUGCCAGAGUGUGCUUGCUCUAACAAUAUAGACAUAUAAACCUUAAAAAUAUCUCACCCAAGACUUAAAGGAAGAAUUCUCUGAAAGGAUAAAGAUUACUAAAAAUUUUUAAUGGGGUGCCUUUUUGUUAUAGUUUCUAUUUUCUGUUUUGUAGGACAAGCUGCAUUUUCUGUAAAUAUAGGUCUGGACUAAAGGACACAUAAAGAAUGCACAAAAUGUCAAUAUCAGCAGAGAUGCCCAGAUCUAUUUAUCUCUAUGUACAUUUGAAGUGAUUGCUGUUAAUGUGUUGUCAUUUUAAAAUUGUGUGUCAGUAAAGCUACCUGUAAAAUUUCAGUCCAAAAAAAUAAAGCUCUCAGGAAGACAUGAAUAAAAACAACAUUAGAAAAUAUAGAUGCUUGCCAUUAACCUACUAACUCUUAAUAUCCUUAAAUUAUGUGAUAUAUAAAGAGAACUGUUACUUUUUUUUUUUUUUUUUUUGCUUUGAUUUAUUUAUUUGUAGUUGGGGAUGGGGCUAACGUUUUCUCUUUUCUUUCUAUCAGUCCUGUUGUGGUUGGGUUUCCUGUGGAGAGAGUAGUUUGUCCUGUUGCACUAGAACAUUAUUUACUCACUAAAUUGAGUCUUUCAGUCAAUUAACAAAUAUUUAUUAAGUACCUGCUAUGUACCAGGCAUAAUAAGGCUACAAUGGUAAGCAAGACAGAGUCCCUGCCCGCAAAGAGCUUACAUUCUAAUGGCGUUAUUGAGGGAUGAAUAAAAUACCAAUGUGUGCACUGUACAGAAAUCAUACCAUUUAAAAACAAUUUGUAUAAACUAUAAUGCUUAGCACAGAUAGCGAGGUAUCUGUGCUAUGUGUGAAAUAGUGCUCUCAGAGUUGUCCAGAGCUGUGGUUUUACUUCUUUUCCUCAUUGUAAAUUUAGUGACUUUCUACACAUUAUAUGGAAAUAAGUGACUAGCAAAUAAAACAGUCAUAAAUACAAAGCAGAGGUUGCAUUCCCCCAAUCCUGAGUUAGCCCAGGUCUGCAAUAACACCAUGUUAAAGGUGCAGAUAGAGACUUGGCUGAAAAAGGCUUGGAGAUGAGGAGGAUUGGAAUAUAAUGAAGGAUUUGUCUGCUUUUUAACUAAAGUGCCUCUAUGUAUAUUCUUUUCUAUUUGUAGCAGAAGAAAUUUGGUGUGGCUCAAUUUUAGAACUGUAUUUUGAAAAUGGCUUUGUCUUACAGUUUAAGGAAUGACAGGUGGAGGGAAAGUCACAUAAAGGAGCAAGUUUGUGUAGCAUGUCCCUCUUGCCCCUUUUAAUCAUCCUUCCUUGAUACGGCCAUCCCGGUGGGCCUCCUUUGCCAUUUCCAUUUUUCGUUUCUUUCCCAGAAAACUGUGUGCAGGUAAUUCCAUGUGCCAUUAUUGAAAAAAAAAAAAAACUUUUUAGAUUGGUGCUGGUGUAAGUAGCCACUUUUCUCUCUUGGGUGUGUAUUUUAAAGUUUUUCUUUUUUUAAUUAAUGCCAAAAAGAAAAUGCAUAAUUGUAAAUUUAAUGACAUGUCUUCUAUCUUAUUAGCUUAGUAGUUGGAACCACGUAGUCUUUUGGUGCAGGACUGUUGCUAGGUAGUACUGAGAAAAAAAAAUGUAUGUGUAAUGAGACUGUCCAUUUUUUUUAAAAAGCAAUAUGCAAUAAAGAGAUGAAUUCAUUGGGUGUACAAAAAAAAAGAUUAGGUAUUUAUUACAGCUUCAGCAGUCUGGCUUUGUUUGUGCUCAUUCUUUCAGAGAUUCUAAGCAGGUUGGUUAUUGUGUUCUCCUGUGGUCACUGCUUCCUUUUCAGCAUUAGAGAGGGCUUUAAGCCUAGGUUUGCCAUAUGUUCUAAGUUGCUGUGUUGUUCUGACAUGAAAGAAGUAGAGGAGGGCUUGAAGUGGCUACCCCAAUCCACUGGCUUUGCAGGUUUUUCCAUGGGACUGGGACAGGCCCAGAGGUUCUGUUUAUGGUCCCCUGCUUGGGAUCAGGCACUUCAGUGCUCUGCACAGUGCGGGGCCCAGUGCUGGGCUUCAAGGCAACAUGUGCCUGCUUCACUCAUCUUCUUUGAAGCAGACACUGCCUCUGUCUGUGCUGUGCUUCCUGGGGCAAGGAGAGGAUGAGAACCGCAGUCCCAUGGCUACCACAGCUGCUGUAAUGCUGGGUCACACCCAAAGCCCACAGCCAGAGACCAGUACAGCUCAGGGUAAUAACUAAGACCCACGUUGCUACAGCCUGCCUGCCACUGAGGUUUAUUUGUGUCUCAAGGCUGCUGCAAAGCAUCAGUGGUGAUGUGGGCUGGGACACAAGAUGUCUCACCAAGGCUGGGAGUCUCUAUCUGGCACAGUGGCAGGUCUAGUAGCUCUGUUCACAGGCACCAGCCUGGAGUCAAGGCUACUGGGUUUUGUCUUGUGUUGGAUUUCACCAUGGCCAGCCUGGCACCGGGUUGCAGGCAAAGCUUUGAGCUCAUGUUUCUCUCAUUUUCCCCAGUGGAUAGAGUCACCGUGCUGCUGAAGAAUGGUGGGGGCAGUCCCUUGGUCAUUAAGGUUUAGCAGGGCAAUGCUCAAAGGUCAUGGAAAUUGGGACUGGAAAUAACCUGGAACAUGUCCCAGACCCACGCUGAUACGCUCUGCCUGCUGCUCAAGUUUACCCAGUGCCACUAAAGAAGGCCAGAACUGACACAAACAAGAACAUGAGACUAUCCUGUUGGGGCUGCAGUUUUCCACCAGGGGCUGGUACUUCAGUGCUUUGCAAAGAGUGGGUCUCAGCACUGGGCUUCCAGGCAACAUGUGCCUGCUGUGGAUUAAUGCAGCUCUGCCUGUGGAAACCAUCUACCUCCUAUCACUUUCUCCAUCAAAUCUUCUGCACUCAUAUUUAUUUGUUGUGUGUGUUCCUGGAGUCUCCAAAUCAACUGAGGUGGUUCCUCUUGGGCUUAUUUGGGAUACAAACUAACUGGAAGUUUCCAAACAUGCUGUGAGAAGCUGAGUCCAUAAGAUAUAUGUCUUAGUACACCCAGUCUUUCUGUAGCCUCUCUGGGUCUGUUUUCUUGGCUGGGUAUUUUUUUUAUUGUAAGUUAGGUUCUGGGGUACAUGUGCAGACUAUGGCAUUUCUCCCCAUGCUAUCACUCCCCAACUUUAGCCCCCUCAACAGACCCCAGUAUAUGAUGCUCCCCUCCCUGUGUCUAUGUGUUGGCUGGGUAUUAAUUUCAAUAACUAGAGAUGAGUGAAAAAAAAGUGACAAGGAAUUGAAGAAUACUUUCUUUACUUUAUGUUUUCAUGACUCCAAGGCAUGCCCCAGCCAAGACGCAGAUAAAGCAGGACAUUGAGAAUUUUGCUGCUUAUGAGUGUUCCAGCAGGAGUCACCCAACAAUCUACAGAGUGAUAUCUGAGCAUCCUGCUCUGUGGCUUGGUGGCUGGCAGGAGACUAGAAACUGCCUUUUCUGCCCUGAAGAGCGCACAUACAUCUAUGGUGCAUUUAGGAGCACAAGAGACAAGAGGAAGCUAUAAGAGAAAUAAUCAUAAUGGAAGCUGUGAAGAUCCAAAAUAAACAGGAGGGAAAUGGAGACUUCAUUCUACAGGAAGGAUCAGACUAGGACCAUCCUUCAGCACAGCUGUCCCAGAAACCAUGGGCUUCUGAAGCUAAACCCAUCUGUCCUCACAUUUGGUAAUGACACCUGGUCUAUGGUCAGAUGAGAGAGAUAGCAGGUGAUAACCGAGGUUCUGUACAAAGUCUGAUCACUCAUGCAGAAUGACAAACAUUUCACUAAAGGUCAGUAAUAUUUUAAUGAAUAAUAUACCUGCAGCAUUUAUUUAUUGCAUUUUGUUAUAUAAGAAGCACUUUCGAGCCAGGCACAGUGGCUCACACUGGUAAUCCAAGAGGCUGAGGAGGGUGGAUCACGAGGUCAGGAGUUCAAGGCAAGUGUGGACAAAGUGAUGAAACCCCAUCUCUACUAAAAAUACAAAAAAUUAGCUCAGUAUGGUAGCAGACAUGUGUAAUCCGAGCUACUUGGGAAGCUGCAGGAGGAGAAUUGCUUGAGCCCAGGAAGUGGAGGUUGCACUGAGCCAAGAUCAUGCCACUGCACUUCAGCCUGGGCAACAGAGUGAGACUCUGUCUCAGAAAAAAAAAAAAGGCACUUUAUUAGUUCAUUAAAAGCAUUUAAUAACACUAAAUGUAUUCUUAAAUAAUUUCACAGAUGAGAAUUGUGAGUUUCAGAUUGGGGAAUCAUUUGUCCAUAGUCACAGUUAAUAAGAUGCAUGACAUGAUUGCUUGCAUGCGGUUAGUUCACAUAUUUAAUUAAAAUAUCUGGGAUUAGAGGUUAUUAAUAAAUUUUCAAGUAUUUUAGAAUCAUCAGUGAGUAGUCACAUUUAGCAUCUCAUGGUAGAAUGGUCAGGAUAUUUACACCACACCUGUGUCAUGUCCUCAUGGUAAGGUUUAUCAUGUAUUAAGAUUGUAUGCAUCUGUGUGGAUAAGUCAUAUGUCAAGUCAGCCUGGAGGAUAUUUGCCUGGGCCCCAAGCAGAUCUUGAAGAGUUAAUAUACAGAGCUACCUUUUCCCAGUGGAAAGCAAGUCCUUGACCAUUGCCUGUGGGCAUUGCCAGGGAUGAUGCAGGCUGGACAAGAAUGCCCACCAUAUGUCCAAGAACCAGUGUCCUCCAAGGGUGUUUCUGUGGACUUCAGGGAGACUGUGUUCUGCAGAGGAAGUGGCACAGAGGUAUGAUGCCAGAGAACCACAGUCAUCUCUGUGUGGGGUGUCUGUGGGUGACACUUUCCACACUCACAUAUCUAAUACAAAGUCAUCUAGAACACUUUCUCCAUUUUCCACCCUGCCUGUACCCUGAUUCCUAGACUUCCAUGGCACUACUUACAUGUGAACGAAGGAAAUUGUUUAUUCCUGUAUUUACUUACUCAUUCACUGACUGUGCAAUGAUAAGGGGGCACUGGCUCUGGGAAAAAAAGCUUGGAGAAGGAGGGAGAAUGUAGUUUGGGGUUAAGGCUCAGGAAUGGAAGAGAGACUGGGAAGCUGAGGACCAGGAGAAAGGAAAAGCUCUGCUCAGCCUCCCCUGGUGAUGCUAUACUAAGCAGGGGCUGGCAGGACCUGCAGGUUUGUAACUGAAGGGGAGGGUCACUCCAGCCACAUAUGGAUGUCUGGCACCUAAUGUGUGGGCUUCACCAGGACUGAGGGUGUCUGAGAGCAGCAAUAGAAGCAGCACACCUGUUGUCUCACGUUGGAGUUUCUUGUUUCCACAUUCUUUUGUCCCAGUGAACAGAACAGGACCACCCUUCCCACAUGUUGAAUUCCUCUCUCUUUGCAGGGAGGGCUCUUCUUGCAAAUCGGUUCUUCUCCAGUUAGCCACACAAGCCCCACCCUGGGCAUAGAGUGUGUGAAACCUGCCCCUGGAUGUGGUGCUAGAAAGGAGACCCAAGGAAAGAGUGUGACAUGGACACUCAGAGACUCUGGGAGGGACAACAGCUGAGAGGGUGAGCACCAGAAGAUAGAGGACAGUGAACAUGGUUGCCAUGUGACCAUCAGGGACAGCAGAGGCCCUCUGUGACUCCAGGGCCCAGAUCUUCCCAGGUCAUCUUCUUGUCACUGAUCUAUGCCCUGGGUCUCCUCCUAUGAGCCACAAAGGACAAUCUCCUCUUACAGCUGUGCUCUGUGCUCUCAUUAUCACACCUGGCCCCACACCUCUUCUUCAGACCAGGAAUGGCAGGGCUGAAUCUUGGGGACCCAGCCACUUACUGCCCAGGUAUAGGGCCAGCUUCUCAAUGUUGCUGCUGCCUUGACUUGCUCCCAUGAGACCUGCAGAUCCUCAUCAAUACAAGACCCUUCUCUGCCUGCUCUGGGGUCCGCAAGCCAAAGCCAGCAGAACCAGGCAAUGGCUCACAUGAUCACCCCCUUUGUAAGAGCAUUCCACUUGACCCUAAUAUAGGAUACCUUUAAAAACGACACAUCUGUGAACUGGAAUCCCCAUUACAGAAAUCCAGUUUAUGAACAGCUUUUUGGGGAUAAAACAUGUUACACCAUAAGCUGCUUCCAACACGUGUGGCAGAGAUGAGGUUCCCUGGACCCACAUGCCCCAGAGAAAGGCCCAGGCACUCCCCCAACAGGUCUCACUCAGCAGCUGCCUGGUAGCUGGACUGGGUCUCUGAGGAGGGGCCCCAAGGCUCAGUCCAGGGCCUUCUAUAUGACUUUGGGGUUUCUCCUGGGGAACUCGUGCACAUCUGAGACCUUCUGGACAAGGAAGGUUGAGCCCUGCAAGGGGUGACAGAGCCAUUCUUUAAGGGAGGGGUACAAGAUGGAGCUUAUUUGCUUGAUGCCCCUCUCCUACUCACUGUGAAGGCUGGUUUUUCUUCUUGGGGGUCCUAAGGCACCCACUGAAGUCUUCCCAAAGGACCAGAGGUGCCUGUGCUUCUUGUUCAUCCAGAAGACUCAGGAAAGGGGCCCGCUUCUGCCCUUCCUGUGGUAGGCAGAUUCUGAAGAGUGGAUGAGCAGCUGCAGCCAGGUGAGGAACCAGCAGGCACCCCCGCCAGCGGCCUGAAAUGGUUGCCACAGGCACACAGCUGAGCACCUUCUAGUAUAGGCAAGGCUGGCACAGGGGUCCUUCAAGAUGUUUUCAAAAGGCACCAAGGUCUCUGAGUUCCUCAGAGGUCAUCAUGUCUGCAUGUAGCCAUGGGCCUUGGAGCUGCUGGGAAGCAGAAAAGAGGCUUUCUAGUUCUAAAGGGGAAACUAAGGCAGGAUCCCAGGCAAGCCCCACAUUGUCAAGAUGAGAAUUAUGCUAGUCCAAGGCUGGAAGGUAUGUGUGACUCAGAGUCCAGCCUCUGAAGCACCUGGAGAGAGGGAUGGCCACCAAGACCUGCCUAUACUCCUCCCAGGACGGAGCACUGCCCACUUUGUCCACCCCAUGGGCUGUUGACACUAAGGUUUCUACAGACCCUGUUCUUCCCACUUACUGUCGAUCACCCCAACGGCUUUCUGUGUUUGCAUGAGCCUGUAUUUCAUGCCCUCAUUUCACUGUAGACGUGGAGUGUAAGGUUAAGUCACAAAUGUACCCAUGUAUUUCUGAUGGUCAAAGCUGCAGCCUGCAGAUGCCAGUGCAAACCACAGACAUGCCAUGAGGGGGGAGCCACAUGCCAGGGAGGAAGCCCAGCCCUCAACACCUCAGGCUGCAGGGAGAGGGGUGAUGGUGCCGAGUUUGAGGACACACCUGGGGCAUGCUGUGUGUAGGUUGAGGGAGAGGCAGCAACUGGCUCCUGUGGCAGAGAGUAUGGCACAGCCUCAUGUUUCCAGCUUGUGUGGCCCCUGUCUAUUGCUGAUGUGAGAUCAGAGUGUGUAAGUGCCACUGCAGGGAACCUUGAGGGGCCUCAGGGGUUGUCUAUGGUCAGAACCAAAAUUCAUCUCUGCUUCGCCAUCUCAACCACAGUUUUCUACAAUGUUCAUAGAUGCUGCUCAGAGGGUUGCUCCUGGCCCAUGUUGAGCUGCAGCCCAAAGGAGAAAGAAAAUAAGAAUAGUUAGGAAGGAGAGGAGGGAGUGAAAAGGAGAGAGAGAGAACUAAGAGCAAAUCCAACAGCAGAGAGGGCAGUGUUCUGUAAUCUAGGCUCUUGUCUCAGUGCUAAGGGCCAUGCACUCCCUUGGAGCUCCAUGGCAUCUGGGGUCUGGGGGUUUUGGGAGGGACAGUCUGUGCACUCUGGUAGCACUAUGGCAUUUGGGUGUGUAUUUGAGGGGAAUACUCAGAAUGCCCCCUUCAGCUUCUUCCAGGGACAAGCCCCAUAUAAUCUGUGAGCCUUGAGAUGUUUGUACAGCAUCUGGAUGUCUGAGUUUUUAGAGGUAGAGGGUCCCCAGGCAUAAACUUCAGGUGUCCCAGUCUUUCCUCUGCCAUCAGAGUCCUAUCAGGCUGCAGCUUUCUCUUGUAGCACCCAGAUCCUGGGCCACAUUUUGGGGCUUGUGAGACCCUGGGACUCUGGCCCUCAACUCUCCCUCAGCACACACACCACUGCCUGAGGAAUGUCCAAUAUAACCAUGGUCAGCCAGGCACUAAGAGCACCCCCUUCAGCUUCUUGCAGGGACAAGCCAC